GAGGAAUAUUGCGCAAUGGGGGCAACCCUGACGCAGCAACGCCGCGUGAGUGAGGAAGGUUUUCGGACCGUAAAGCUCUGUCGAGCGGGAAGAAAUGCAUAGUGGCUAAUAUCCAUUAUGCUUGACGGUACCGCUAAAGGAAGCACCGGCUAACUCCGUGCCAGCAGCCGCGGUAAUACGGGGGGUGCUAGCGUUGUUCGGAAUCAUUGGGCGUAAAGAGCGUGUAGGCGGCUGGAUAAGUCAGAUGUGAAAGCCCUGGGCUUAACCCAGGAAGUGCAUUUGAAACUGUUCAGCUUGAGUAAGGGAGAGGAAAGUGGAAUUCCUGGUGUAGAGGUGAAAUUCGUAGAUAUCAGGAGGAACACCGGUGGCGAAGGCGACUUUCUGGCCCUAUACUGACGCUGAGACGCGAGAGCGUGGGUAGCAAAC
rnacentral:rRNA from 1 species